rnacentral:lncRNA from 1 species
AGAGGGCGUUGGACGCUCUGGAAUCGGAGUCACAGGUAGUCUUAAGCUACUGUCUUGGGGCUGGGAACAAGGUCUAGGUUCUCUAAGAGCAUAUUGAGCCAGCUUUCUAGAAAUUCUUUUUUUUUCUUCUUUUUUUGAGACAGAGUUUCUUUGUGUAACAGCUCAAGGAACUUGUCCUAUAGACCAGGUUGGACUUUAAUUCACAAAGAUCUGCCUGCCUCUGCCUGGCUUCUGCCUCCUGAAUGCUGGAUUAAAGGUGGUCUUCACCAUUGCCCAACAAUAUUCUUUACAUAGCCUCUCUUUAAGAAUUUCACAUACAGGACAAUGGUGGUGCACAUCUUUACUCCCAGCACUCUGGAGGCAGAGGCAGGUGGAGUUCCAGGUCAGCCUGCUCUACUGAGUGAGUUCCAGGACAGCCAGGGCUACACAGAGAAACCCUGUCUACAAAACAAAACAAAACAACAGCAACAACAAAAACCUGAAAAACAAGGACAAAAAAAAAAAAAACCAAACAAACAAAAAAAAAAAAAACUAACAACAAAAUAAAACAACCAAAAACCACAAAAACAAAACUCAACCAACCCACAAACAAAAAAACCCCAGCAUUAUUCUUAAGACUCUAAAGGUGGACACAAUACAAAUGUUCAUCAAAUCUCCUGCAAAACUGUAAAAAAAAAAAAAAAAA